AUUCUCAAUCACAUGAUUAAGCAAGUCUCAAUUAAAUCAACCAAGCAAACUACGACAAUUAAAUAAAACUCAAACACAAUAUCAAAAAUUAAUCACCAAACUCAAACAUGAAUAACACAAAUCAACGAUAUCAUCACAUAUAAAAUGAAAAGAGAUAGAGUUUGAGAAUUUGGACCUUAAUUUGGAGAUUUCAAUAUAACAGAAAGAGAAUCGCGUCCGAACUCUUGAACCGAACCUCGACAGCAAAUAAAACUCCAAACCUGAUAUUGAUAAGUAAGGAUCCGAAUUGAUUUGAACCUAGAAUCAACCACAUACAGAUUGAACAAGAACUAUUAAAUCAAUCGAGAUAGAAAUCAUGAAGAACCGAGAAAAGCCAUGUCAAAAUCCCACCGGAGUCAACUCGAAUCUCAACGAAAUUAAACAAAAUGUCUACUUCAACUUAUUUCAGUUGUUGGUUUGAAUUUUCAGGGGUGAGAGGGACGAUUUUCGUGGUCAAUAGUGUCUAAUCCGUCGUGUGGCAACGGAUUUCGGUGAGAUCAUCGCCGGAAAGCUUCGAUGCUGUCCGGAUUCAGCAAAAACCAUGGGUAAACAGAGAAAAUAUGGGGAUUUCAGACUGGAACCGUCGAACAGAAGAAAUGGGCACCGAUGAAAUGGAUUCCGGAGAAAAUUUUGCUGGAGAUUCUUAAAGAACGAUCGGAUUUUCACCGAGAUACUGUUCUGAUUAACCCAUAGACUGUUUUAAGUUCAUUUUUAUCCAUUUUUUCUCACUAUUUAUGCCUUCUCAAUCUCCUUCUCUCUAAUUUCUGUAUGUGUGUAAAAUUUUUAUCUUGUAGAAUCAGAAAAUGACCAAAAAUAGUAUACCGGCGAUGAGUUCGCCAAAAAAAAACUCAAACCCACCUUCUCCUGCUCGAUCUUCUCUCUCUGUGCUACUCUCUCUUUGUUACUCUCUCUCUCUCCAUGUGUAUGGUUUUUUUUAUGUGUCCAUUCAGUGAAGGUGAGUGAGGAUUUUGUAGACGUUGUUGUUCAUGGAGAAUGGGGACAUGUGUGAAUAAUCCUCUUUGCUGUGAGGGCAUAUGGAUGAUGAUGAUGGAGAAAAUCUGUGGGCCCCACUUUCUUUAUCUGUCUAUCUCAAUCGAAAAAUAGGAAAUGUGGUAUUGAUAAAAAACACGUGAAAAAAAUAGGGUAGGGUUGGUGGUUGGGUUACGUCGGUAGGGGUAUGGGGUAGGUGAUGUAUUGUAUACUUUUAAUAGGGUGGAUUGUUAAUUUGUUAUUAAGAGAAUCUUGAGGAUUAGGUUGGUUAGACAUUUGUUAUUUUUUUUUUUUUGUAUUUUUGUGAGAAAUAAUCACAUGGGUGAGGGUGUAUGAUAAUGUGAGGGAAAAAUGAAUAAAAUGGGUUUCGAGAGGGACAAAAUUAGGUGUCUACAUCAUGCCCCUUCUUG
rnacentral:lncRNA from 1 species